rnacentral:rRNA from 1 species
AACGCUAGCUACAGGCUUAACACAUGCAAGUCGAGGGGCAGCAUGAUUGAAGCUUGCUUCAAUUGAUGGCGACCGGCGCACGGGUGAGUAACACGUAUCCAACCUUCCGUACACUCAGGGAUAGCCUUUCGAAAGAAAGAUUAAUACCUGAUGGUAUCUUAAGCACACAUGUAAUUAAGAUUAAAGAUUUAUCGGUGUACGAUGGGGAUGCGUUCCAUUAGGUAGUAGGCGGGGUAACGGCCCACCUAGCCUACGAUGGAUAGGGGUUCUGAGAGGAAGGUCCCCCACAUUGGAACUGAGACACGGUCCAAACUCCUACGGGAGGCAGCAGUGAGGAAUAUUGGUCAAUGGACGAGAGUCUGGACCAGCCAAGUAGCGUGAAGGAUGAAGGUCCUACGGAUUGUAAACUUCUUUUAUAGGGGAAUAAAACCUCCCACGUGUGGGAGUUUGUAUGUACCUUAUGAAUAAGCAUCGGCUAACUCCGUGCCAGCAGCCGCGGUAAUACGGAGGAUGCGAGCGUUAUCCGGAUUUAUUGGGUUUAAAGGGAGCGCAGACGGGUCGUUAAGUCAGCUGUGAAAGUUUGGGGCUCAACCUUAAAAUUGCAGUUGAUACUGGCGUCCUUGAGUGCGGUUGAGGUGUGCGGAAUUCGUGGUGUAGCGGUGAAAUGCUUAGAUAUCACGAAGAACUCCGAUUG